UACGUAGGGUGCGAGCGUUAAUCGGAAUUACUGGGCGUAAAGCGUGCGCAGGCGGCUUUGCAAGACAGAUGUGAAAUCCCCGGGCUCAACCUGGGAACUGCAUUUGUGACUGCAAGGCUAGAGUACGGCAGAGGGGGAUGGAAUUCCGCGUGUAGCAGUGAAAUGCGUAGAUAUGCGGAGGAACACCAAUGGCGAAGGCAAUCCCCUGGGCCUGUACUGACGCUCAUGCACGAUAGCGUGGGGAGCAAACAGG
rnacentral:rRNA from 1 species